AGCUGCCACCACUUGUGCUGCUACCGCCACAUCAACAAGCAGGAUCGCUCCUCAAGUUCUAACUCUCUCAGGCAUCUAGUGUACCUUACACACACCACUACACGAUGAAGCUGCUACUAGUGAUUUUGCUGGUGGCUUCUGUUGCGUUUGUGAGCGCUCAGCCCCAGUUUGGUGGCAGAAGAAGAGGUGGAUUUGGUGGUGGACGUGGAGGUGGAUUCGGUGGUGGACACGGCGGAUUCGGUGGUGGACACGGCGGAUUUUCGGUGGUGGACACGGUGGAUUAGGUGGAGGUCACGGUGGAUUCGGUGGUGGACACGGUGGGGGACACGGUGGAUUUGGUGGUGGACACGGUGGUGGAUUUGGAGGACACCAUGGAGGACAUCAUGGACGUGAUACCGUAAUUGGAUUGGGCCCUCUAGGUCACGUCCACCUCAACGAAGCUGGCGCACAAAUUCAUCUUGGACGAUAAAAAAACCGAAAAGUGUUUUAUAUUUAUUGUGAUCAGUGCCAUAUUAAACCUAAUUAUGACAAAAGUAUAAUUGCAACCAGUGACAGUAGGUAAAUUCAAUCAAAUAAUGCUAGUUCGUUUUACUGGACCAUGACUUCUGUUCGGCAGACAUUACUCACAAUUCUACUUCGCGGAUCGAUUAAUUCACGGAUGCCAUUUCCUCCGGAUGCUACUAAUUAAAUUUUCGUAUUGAACAUUUUUUAGUAUAUUGUGGGUUUCGGUGACGACUUUUUCUGCUACACAAAUGGUAAUUACAUCACGACUGACGUUCAUAGUGGCUAAAUGGCAUUAAAGGGCUUAAUCUCGACAAAUUUCGAUUUAUCGAAGAUCCUUCCAGGUGACGCAUUCAUAAAUCUUGUUGGGAACAUGUCUUGCUUGGUGAGCAGCAUUAAAAAUAUUAAUUAUUUUCACAGAUUAGGUUUAAAAAGCCAUAAGUACUUGGCUCGAAAAAAGGACAAACUAAAGCAGUUAAAUUAAUCAGAAGCAAGUCUGAGAUCUCAUGAUACAUGUUUACUACGAAAUGGAAUUAAAAUCUUGAUCAUUUUUGUGAGAAGCACUUUUCAAAUAUUUUAGAGGCUAACGAGCGUUAUUGUUUUAAUUGUAAUGGGAGCUUUUUACAUUCAAACCCAAAAAAACUUUCUGAAUGUCGACGAGAAAACUGCAUUUUGUAUUAUUAAAAAAUUUGUGAAAGGCCCCAAAUGUGUUAAAUGCGAUCAAGUGAGCUGUGUUCAAGAGAACAGUGUGUUCAUAUUAUUGUUGUAGUAUGUCAUGGCAUUGUGUUCAUUGCUUAUUAACUGCUAAAAAACAUAAAUGUUUACUAAAUAACUACGUAGGAACGAAGAGUGAAUGCAAAAAUUCGCUGCAUUCAUUAAAAUGUCUUCGAAAAUAUGCGAGCAUAACCUUUGAAAGUGCUGGAUUUUCAAUGGAAGCCUGUAACAGAAGUAUAGGUAUACCGUAACUUACUAAUAAUUUCAGUUUGGGGAAGUUCACUCUUGUAGCCUUGCACGUUCAAGGACAUUUUUUUCUCUUUUUUUAUAAUCUUUUAUUUGUCCUUACUCAGAACAAGCUAUUCAUGUUGGGAGAACAUAGCCGGGAACAAUACUUUUAUUGCCUCCAACUGAUUUAUUUGCGUUACUUGCGACUGAUGAUAUACUGAAGGAAUUGUUUUGUUAAUAAAUUAUUCUCGUUUUUGACUUGUUAAGCCGGGAAUGGUGGCUUUGAAAACGUAGCAUGUCAUUUCUUAUUUGUACAAUUCAUUUGUAAUAUUUUUCUUUACAAUCGAAAUAGGAUAAUUAAAACAUUUGAAACUUAAUCAUUUAAAGGCAAUAAACUUCGUUUAAA
rnacentral:lncRNA from 1 species